UACGUAGGGUGCAAGCGUUGUCCGGAAUUAUUGGGCGUAAAGAGCUCGUAGGCGGUUUGUCGCGUCUGCUGUGAAAACCCGAGGCUCAACCUCGGGCCUGCAGUGGGUACGGGCAGACUAGAGUGCGGUAGGGGAGAUUGGAAUUCCUGGUGUAGCGGUGGAAUGCGCAGAUAUCAGGAGGAACACCGAUGGCGAAGGCAGAUCUCUGGGCCGUAACUGACGCUGAGGAGCGAAAGCAUGGGGGGCGAACAGG
rnacentral:rRNA from 1 species